GCGGGCCGCCGCGUGUCGCUGGGAACCAGUUGAGCCGAGGAAUGUAGCCGAGUUGGAGAAGCAGUCACCAGGGGCGCUGCAGGCAGUCGCGUCCAGGUCACUGCUCAGCUCACAUCCCAGAUAAACCUGAGAAGCGCCGGACCUUUUCGCUGGGAGAGUAUAAGUGAAUACGACAGACUGUAAGCAUGUUGAACAAGGACGCUAAAGUGACAGAAGAGGCCCUGUCGCCCCCUAAAAGUGGUGAUACCCCCACUGGCGAGGCUGAUACAGACAAGUGCCAGGCUCAGAACGGAGAGGCAACCACCGCCUUAAUUACCUUCGAAGAAGGCGAGCAAGUAAGUUCCAUUGCGAAUACGACAGGAGAGAAGAACUCACACGAGAACGUCGCAGAAGCGAAGAACUCUGACACCGAGGUAGCAGAAGUCAGAGGUUCGGAAGCCAGCAAGGCAGAAGUGCAAAUUCCAGAGAUCAGUACAACAGACGUGAGCAGUUCCGAAACAGUUAUGGUGCAAGUGGAGAGUUCCGAAAUGAAUAGUGCGCAAGUGAAUGAUUCUCUCGAGACGAAGGCAGAAGUGAAAAAUUCUCACACUAGCGUGGAAGAAGUGAAGCAACCUGAUGUGAGUAUGAGCGAAGUGAGGAAUACUGGUGAUAAGGUGACGGAAGUGAUAAUUUCCGAUGUGAGCGUGGGAGAAGUGAAAAUUUCUGAUACAAAUUCGACACCUAAAUCGAUCUCACCAGAAGGCGAGAGUGGCGGGGGAAGUGAAAAUGCGGGAGUUAGUGCCAACGAGAACGUGCAGCCGGUUGUCACGGAGACUCCUACUCCGAGUGCUUCGGAGCCUCUGAUCGAGAUUUCCGAUGACGGGUCGUGGGACAUGAAGCCCCAACACGAACUGGAGGCGGCUGGUGCCCCGAGGGAAUCUACCGGAGCACUCGAAGGAAGUCUGUACGAAAACCAGACUGCGACUGUCGAGGAUGAGGCGAAGUGUGCUGCAGAUGCCGCUGCUACACCGGUACCCGUUGCUGUGUGCCCACCGAAACCGUUACCACGCAAGCUCGAGACGGCGGCUGCUGCGAAGCUAGAGGAGUCUGCCCAGUCAGAGGAAGCCCAGAACGGCGCAACCAUUCUGGAAGCUGUGGCGGACCUGUGCGUCGGCCUGAAGACGCUGGACAACGCCAAGCCGUACAAGGACGGCGAGGAGCCGCCCACAGAGACGCCUGCCGACCCACAGCAUGCACCGCCACCGCCGCCCUUCCGCUUCGGAAAAUUCCCGAAAGAUGUGGUGUACGACUCGAUCCUGGAGAACAAGAACAAGACGAAGAGCUACUGGGAGCAGCGCAUGCUGUGCGUGGCAGAUGGCGAGUGCGCGCCCAAGGUGGUGGACGCGGUGGCAAAGUCGCCGGCCGUGGCCAAGAUCGCGAUGGAGCUGCGCGAGAUGAGAGAGCGCGAGGAGGAACUGCGGCGCGCGAGGCUCGCCCUCCAGCUGCCGCUGCCGCUCACAGACAGCUGCUCAGAGUACGGCAGCGAGGACAGCAUGGUGAGUCCUCCAGGAUACUCACAUCAGCGUACAGAUUCUAUGAGCUCUGGUCAUAGUUCUGGAUCAGACUUUGGCCGCAGGCGUGUUACAGUAAAACCCUUGGAUGAACCAGACUCUGAAAGUGAAACUCCAGCGUACAAGAGAACCCAGAAAGAAACUCCCAUUGAGAGGGAAAUUAGAUUAGCUCGUGAAAGAGAAGAGGAACUGAGACGUGAGAAAGGACUUCCACCGUUAAACACACCUACCACUCCAAAAGCUGAAUUUCGUUUCCUACAUAAAACUCUGAGUUCAAGUGAACAACAGCAUACUCAGCCUCCUCGGCCUGCAACAACAAGAAUUCAACAAGAAAUUGAUGAGGCAGUACAGAGGGAGAGAGAACUGAAAGAAGCAAAUGGAAUUCAGACAUCUGAUGAAAAUAUUGUACAUAAGAGAUCUCAAACACCUGAUGCUGUCAACAGUUCCACAGAAGAGAAAGAGAGUGAUCCAAAUAGUUUCUCCUCUUCGAACAAUCUUUCAGAUUCACUAAAUGAUGGAGAACCCUCAGCACAAGCUGUUCCAACAAAGAGAUCUCAGUCAUCAAGUCCAUCACUUAAUAAUUCUCCAUUUGCAAGCCCAACACACAGGUUCUCAUCUGGUGGUGGACAGAAAGGAUUGAUGCAGAGGUUUUAUGCAUCACAUGGAAGGAUGAGAAUUUAUGCUGCUCCAAGGAAUACUGUACCUGUUGUUGUUUCUCCUCCUUCUGUUUCACCUGUACAUAACCAGCCUCCAAUUCAAAGGAAGAUCAUUGACAUCAAUAGUGGGAAUGAUUCACAGGAUUCAGAUGAAGACCUGGUAAAGACUCCAGUGAGAAAGGGCUACCAAUCAGCUGAAGAGAAGAUACAAGCAGAGUUACAAGAGAUGCAAAAACGUGAAGAAGAAUUGAGGUUGCUGAGAGCAAAACUAUUUGCUCAGUCACAGCCAAAUCU